GAUGAACGCUGGCGGCGUGCCUAAUACAUGCAAGUCGAGCGAACAGACGAGGAGCUUGCUCCUCUGACGUUAGCGGCGGACGGGUGAGUAACACGUGGAUAACCUACCUAUAAGACUGGGAUAACUUCGGGAAACCGGAGCUAAUACCGGAUAAUAUAUUGAACCGCAUGGUUCAAUAGUGAAAGACGGUUUUGCUGUCACUUAUAGAUGGAUCCGCGCCGCAUUAGCUAGUUGGUAAGGUAACGGCUUACCAAGGCAACGAUGCGUAGCCGACCUGAGAGGGUGAUCGGCCACCCUGGAACUGAGACACGGUCCAGACUCCUACGGGAGGCAGCAGUAGGGAAUCUUCCGCAAUGGGCGAAAGCCUGACGGAGCAACGCCGAGUGAGUGAUGAAGGUCUUCGGAUCGUAAAACUCUGUUAUUAGGGAAGAACAAAUGUGUAAGUAACUAUGCACGUCUUGACGGUACCUAAUCAGAAAGCCACGGCUAACUACGUG
rnacentral:rRNA from 1 species